CUCAUUUUCUGGCUCUACGUGUUCUCCAAUUCCAAUUUUAGAAGGAUGUUUCCAUGACAUUAGGAAAAGCACCAGCGAACACAAGAAUGUGAUGUCAAACAGGUUGGAUUUUGUCCUGAUCUAUCAAGAUUUGCUCGCUUGCAAAUUUUAAUUUUCCUAAGUGGAUCAAACUAGUGUUUCUAAUAAACCAGUCUGGAACUUAAUCUGAUUUAGGGGGAAAAAAAAAAAAGGGUCCAGGUUCCUUUCUCAGGUUUUAAACUUUUGUAUCUAUGUUUACAGUUUAUAGAGCCAGCUUUUUACUCUGUAGAUAAAUGGAGCAUUUGGGAAGUUUCUUUUAGGCUGGCAGGAAAAAGGAAGGCAAAAUUGAAACUGCAUUCAUUUGAUAUUAAUACCUCUAUCUGGCCCUAGGCAAAACUGAGAGGCAAACAUAAUCUGCUGCCCAUCCAUCAUUCAGUCUUCUCUUCCUACCACAUCCCUCCAGGUUUCCAGGUUCGGGUGACAGCAAGGAAGAGAAAUCUACUCGUUCACUUAGCAAUGUGGUAUUCAGCAUCUGAUAUGCCCCACAUUCUGUGUGGCAUUGAGCGUGCAAGUGUGAAGCAAACAGACUUGUCUAUAUGUGACUCUAGGAACUUCUGCUUCAUACCACAAAGCAUCACAGAAGUUAUUCAUACAUUGCAUCUAGAAGACAAGUUCAUUUUCCAGAAGACUCUUUGAGGAUAUACAACAUAGAAAGAUCUGGGUGUGAGUGAUUUUCUAACAGUAACUUUGUAUUUUGUUGAAUCUCCAAUAUGAAGAAAAAUAUGGAAAUGGAAUCAAAGUGUUACUUCUCAUGUUGCUAAAGUGGAAUGUUCUUUCCAGCUAAUAAAAUGGCAAACAAUAUGUUGAAGGGUCUGAUG
rnacentral:lncRNA from 1 species